CGCCUCCCCCCCCCCCCCCCAGCCGCCAGCCUUCAGCCCUGAAAAGGAGGUCUCUACCCCGGGUUUCUGCUGCUGGUGGAACCGGGCGGGGGACAAGGCGGGUUCACCCAGGAUGCGAACGGGGCGGUCCUCUAGGAAGGCUUGGCCGGCUUACAAGACUAGAGUCAAUCAGUGGGGAUGUCGGGCAGACCAGGGGUGAUGACCAGAGCCCACGAAAUGGGGGUCUUCAGGAGUGCGAGGCGCGCAGAAAGGCAUGGGAGGGCCUCGGAACCGCGGCCCUGGCGCGGGUGUGCAGAAGCUUAGAUCCGCCCACCCAAGAGCUCCUAAUGGCCCGGUACAGGGAGGCGAGGAUAGCAAUGGGGGCGGGGGCGGGGGGAGGGUUCUUCUCGGUGUUUCGAGUAACAUCAAGCCGGGAGGCAGAGCUGUUCAAGGUGAAUCCUAGAUGGCUCCUAGGCCCUUUCCCCUGGGAGAGGAAAGGGCUCAUUUGCUCAGUUGAGAUCAUCCAGGUAUGGAUAAGGAGAGACGGCUCUUGUUACGAGUUGAAUUAUAUCCCCCAAAGAAGGUAAGUUAAAGUUCUAACCCCCAUUACCCUGGAACGUGAAUUUAUUUGAAAAUAGGGUCAUUGCAGAUGUGAUUAGUUAAGAUGAGGUCAUACUGAAAUAGUGUGGGCCCCUAAGCAAUAUGAAUGGUGUCCUAUAAGAAAACAGCCAUGAGAAAAGAGACACAGGAAGAAUGCUAUGUGAAAACGGGGGGUUGGAAUGAUGCAUCUGUAAGCCAAGGAAUGCCACAGGUUGUCCACAAACCACUAAGUUGCAGAGACAGCAUGGCUCUGCUAACACCUUGAUUUUAGACUCUGAGCCUCUAGAACUGUAAGAUGAUAAAUUUCUACUGUUUUAAGCUACCCAGUUUGUGGUGCUUUGUGAUAGCAACCCUAGGAAACUCUUGGGUUAAGGGCAUAUGUACAUGUGUUUGUAUUUAUUAGAAUGGCAAUUAAAGCAAGCAAGCAAGCCACACAUAAUCCAUAAAGCUGUAAAGCCUGCUCUGUGCAGAAUACAAUGUCAAGGGGGCUGGGAAGUCAGAUAUAUAAGACUUGGUCUAUGUGCUUAGCUAACAUAAUGUUUAUGAUGUAUUUCUCAUUUGCUGUUUUCCAGCCAGCACCCAGGCAAGGAGUCCAUGUCAUAAAAUGACCUACACCUCUGGAGACAGAUCUGCUUUGGUGGGAGGCCCUACUGUUCCUCAGCGUUUUAACCUUGGGGAAAUUACUGAGUCUGUCUUCUGUUUCAAUUCCUUAUCUGAAAUAUGGGGAUGAUGGUAAUAAAGAGGUUGUUGCGAGCA
rnacentral:lncRNA from 1 species